AUUGUCCUAAACUUCAGAAUAGUGUAAUUGCAGAUGGAAUUAUCAGAACUUCUUACUCUAUUGACAUUUUUCUAUAUCUAUUAGAUUUACCUUGUUGAUUUUCCUCCUAGGCAUUGUUUUAUGUGGAGUGUUGAAGACAGAAGAUUGUUCUAGAUGACGUGCUACUCAUCAUGAGCCCUAUGUGAAGACUUUUCAAUGUGUGAGAUUUAUAGGACCCUACAAUGAGAAAAUUGUUAUAAAAACCCUACAAGAUUUUUCUGUGCAGAGGAGAGGCAUAUCUGUUACUAACAUUUCACGGAACAGAGAAAUCUCUUCCUGAAUGUGAUUGAGGAGCUUCAUCC
rnacentral:lncRNA from 1 species